rnacentral:rRNA from 1 species
AUUGAACGCUGGCGGCAGGCUUAACACAUGCAAGUCGAGCGGGGGAAGGUAGCUUGCUACCGGACCUAGCGGCGGACGGGUGAGUAAUGCUUAGGAAUCUGCCUAUUAGUGGGGGACAACAUCUCGAAAGGGAUGCUAAUACCGCGUACGUCCUACGGGAGAAAGCAGGGGAUCUUCGGACCUUGCGCUAAUAGAUGAGCCUAAGUCGGAUUAGCUAGUUGGUGGGGUAAAGGCCUACCAAGGCGACGAUCUGUAGCGGGUCUGAGAGGAUGAUCCGCCACACGGGGAAUGAGACACGGCCCAGACUCCUACGGGAGGUAGCAGUGGGGAAUAUUGGACAAUGGGGGGAACCCUGAUCCAGCCAUGCCGCGUGUGUGAAGAAGGCCUUAUGGUUGUAAAGCACUUUAAGCGAGGAGGAGGCUACUCUAGUUAAUACCUAGGGAUAGUGGACGUUACUCGCAGAAUAAGCACCGGCUAACUCUGUGCCAGCCGCCGCCGUAA